AAUGGGAUAGCUGGGUCAAAUGGUGGUUCUAUUCCAAGUUUUCUGAGGAAUCUCCAUACUUCUUUCCAUAAUGGUGGCACCAAUUUGCAUUACCACCAACAAU
rnacentral:pre_miRNA from 1 species